AGAUAGAUAGCUCAGCGGUCUAGAGCAGUCGCCCGGCAAGCGAAAGAUACGGGUUCGAUUCCCGGUCUAGCAG
rnacentral:tRNA from 1 species